CCUAAAGAUUUUUCAAAAAUUAUUGGAUUAUUUUGUAAAGACAUUUUUAUAAAAUAUAUGGAAGCUUCAAUUUUUCUUAGAACAUACUACAUUGAAGAACUUUUGUUAAUUUGAAAACAUCAUCUUCCGCUUCAAAUCAAGGUCUUACGCUUAAUAACCGUAAAACUGGUAUUGAACUUACAAUGUCAUUAGCUGAGUUUCAAAAAUGUGUAUUGAACACAUUGUCUACUAUGAAAUAUGACAUAAAUUGUUGUGUACUUACUAAUCAACAAAUUAAUGCUAACAUGAAUGCAUUGCUGGAAAAUUUAAACAAAAAUGCAGUAAUAUCAGAUGAUGGUUUUAAUGAUUAUGACUUAAAUGAUAUACUUCCAAUCGAAAAUCAUGAAUCUCUACAAGAAUUUGAAUUCAAGCU